rnacentral:sRNA from 1 species
UCAGUUAAUAAUAAAUGGAGCGCUGGU